CUGACGAGUGGCGGACGGGUGAGUAAUGCUUGGGAAUCUGGCUUAUGGAGGGGGAUAACGACGGGAAACUGUCGCUAAUACCGCGUAUUAUCGGAAGAUGAAAGUGCGGGACUGAGAGGCCGCAUGCCAUAGGAUGAGCCCAAGUGGGAUUAGGUAGUUGGUGGGGUAAAGGCCUACCAAGCCUGCGAUCUCUAGCUGGUCUGAGAGGAUGACCAGCCACACUGGAACUGAGACACGGUCCAGACUCCUACGGGAGGCAGCAGUGGGGAAUAUUGCGCAAUGGGGGGAACCCUGACGCAGCCAUGCCGCGUGAAUGAAGAAGGCCUUAGGGUUGUAAAGUUCUUUCGGUAUUGAGGAAGGUUGAUGUGUUAAUAGCACAUCAAAUUGACGUUAAAUACAGAAGAAGCACCGGCUAACUCCGUGCCAGCAGCCGCGGUAAUACGGAGGGUGCGAGCGUUAAUCGGAAUAACUGGGCGUAAAGGGCACGCAGGCGGUUAUUUAAGUGAGGUGUGAAAGCCCCGGGCUUAACCUGGGAAUUGCAUUUCAGACUGGGUAACUAGAGUACUUUAGGGAGGGGUAGAAUUCCACGUGUAGCGGU
rnacentral:rRNA from 1 species